rnacentral:rRNA from 1 species
CUCCUGAGGUGGCGAGCGGCGGACGGGUGAGUAAUGCCUAGGGAUCUGCCCAGUCGAGGGGGAUAACAGUUGGAAACGACUGCUAAUACCGCAUACGCCCUACGGGGGAAAGGAGGGGACCUUCGGGCCUUUCGCGAUUGGAUGAACCUAGGUGGGAUUAGCUAGUUGGUGAGGUAAUGGCUCACCAAGGCGACGAUCCCUAGCUGUUCUGAGAGGAUGAUCAGCCACACUGGGACUGAGACACGGCCCAGACUCCUACGGGAGGCAGCAGUGGGGAAUAUUGCACAAUGGGGGAAACCCUGAUGCAGCCAUGCCGCGUGUGUGAAGAAGGCCUUCGGGUUGUAAAGCACUUUCAGUAAGGAGGAAAGGUUAACGAUUAAUACUCGUUAGCUGUGACGUUACUUACAGAAGAAGGACCGGCUAACUCCGUGCCAGCAGCCGCGGUAAUACGGAGGGUCCGAGCGUUAAUCGGAAUUACUGGGCGUAAAGCGUGCGCAGGCGGUUUGUUAAGCCAGAUGUGAAAUCCCCGGGCUCAACCUGGGAAUUGCAUUUGGAACUGGCGAACUAGAGUCUUGUAGAGGGGGGUAGAAUUCCAGGU